rnacentral:lncRNA from 1 species
UAGUCCCCGUCCCCCAUCCAAAUCAGGCGCAAGAGCCGAGCGGCGGCCUCCACCCUCCAGCCCACUGGCCACUACCCACGUCUCGUCGGCAAAAAAAUUGGUCCCCCUGCUCCUGCCGGUUUCUGGUUGGUGAUGAGGCGGUGAGUAAAGGCGUCUGGGGCUGCCUUUCUUCCGUGCGGCCAUGGAGCGGAUGGCGAGGCGGCAAUCGCUGCAUGGGAGGAAGUGAGUCCGUGAGGCAUCAACUCAAAUCUCUCGGCUUUCUCAGGAGUCAGGACUCAGGACUCAGGCUGGCAAGCAAGCACUCUUCCAGUUCCAGACCAGGUAGAUUUUUCUUUCUCAUCAGAGGAAGCCCCUAAUCUAGCUGUGGGACUUAAGCCUCACAUAAGUGAUGAGUCUAUUUUCUCCAUUCUCUUUUAUAAAACACACACACAUAGACAGAUUCAAACUUUUAUUUUUUAACUAAUAAUUUGACUAACAAUUUAUUACCUAAUACAAUUAGAUUUAUAAUUAAUAUAUUAUCUAAUUAUCAUAAUAACUUUAUAAACAUAAACAAUACAAUACUCCUUCAAUCAUAAAUUAUAAGCUAUUUUUAAUGUUUUGAAGUGUUGAAAUAUCCUAAGUUUGACCAAAUUUAUAUAGUAUAAAAUAAUAAUAUUUAUAUGAUGUCAUAAAUCUUUGUAAUUUUUUCUACAAUUUUAGUUAAAUCUGAUAUAUUUUGAUUCUCUAAAAAAUUAGAAUGACUUAUAGAAUGAAGCAUUGUUUAUAAUCUUCCGCUAUAGCUUUUUGAGCAAGGUCCCACUUUGUGUUCAUAUAUAAUUUAGCUGUUAUAUCCACUAUAAUCCGAUAUAGCUCCAAUAUUAACUAUUUUAAAGAUAUACCGCUAAACACUUUAGUCCACUACAAAUUAUUGUAAAAUACAUGUUUCUUGUAUUUUUUUAGAAAAAAAAACUAAUUACUAUAAAAUUCCUGUGAAAUCCCUACAUUUCAAAAGGGUCCGAAAUGAUUAUAAAAAAAAGUCAGGUGUAGUUAUUUGAAAGAACGUGUAACGUGAAACCGCCUCUUAUAAAAGGAGAUGGAAGGUGUAGUUAGCAUAGCGUGUUGGGUCCCAGUCGGUCCGCAACAACGCCGGUGCUCUAUGCGUUGCAGAUGCAUACCUGCGCAUCUUCAGGUCCUGUUUGGAACGUGAGUUUUUUUUUUUUAAAAAAAAACUACAUUCUUUAUCAGAUUAAACUGAAUUUUAGUUAAAUUUCUAAAUAAUCUCGUGCGAAAUUCCCACGGGAUAUCCACAUUCUUACGACGUACUCCUACUACAUCUCCAACUCUUUUCACCCAAACAGGACAACACCGACUCUGAACUCAUGAAGCAGUUCUCUGAGGACCAAAAUUGGAAAUCCACUCUUUUCUCGGCUACCGCGCGUCUGUGCGCACGUCCCUAGUACUUGCCGCAAAAGAGAAAGAGCAACGAGCAGCUUCGUGAGGCAGGCACAGUGUCACACCAGGGCCUUGUUUAGGCCUUGUUUAGUUCGCAAAAAUUUUCAAGAUUCCCCGUCACAUCGAAUCUUUAAUCACAUGCAUGCAGCAUUAAAUAAAGAUAAAAAUAAAAACUAAUUACACAGUUUAUCUGAAAUUUGUGAGAUGAAUCUUUUGAGCCUAGUUACUUCGUGGUUGGACAAUGUUUGUCAAAUAAAAACGAAAGUGCUACAGUAGCCAAAAACCCAAAAUUUUGCCAACUAAACAAGGCAUAGUUUCAAAAAAAAUUGCAAAACAGGUACUGUAGCACUUUCGUUUGUUUAUGAUAAAAAUUGUCCAAUCAUGGAUUAACUAGGCUGAAAAGAUUCAUCUCAUCAAUUCCGACCAAACUAUGCAAUUAGUUUUUAUUUUUGUCUAUAUUUAAUACUUCAUGCAUGCGUCUAAAGAUUCGAUGUGACGAGAAAUCUGAAAAAUUUUGCAAAAUUUGUUGGGAAGUAAACAAGGCCCAGAUCUACCACCAUAGUACACACCAAGGGAAAUGCGGAAAUCAUCAUUCCAACUCCACUCCGUGCAGUACAAAAGGCAACGGAACGGCAAGCCCGUCGCACAUCCUAUCAAGCUUUUCUGACCAGUUCUAACAAACACCAAAACGCAUCACGCAUACUCGUCUUGCUUGCAGAUCUUUGCCGCUAUAAAACAGAUCCUGCAGCACACGCGAACAUUACACUUGAAAACAUUGAAAGAAGAAUAUGGAUCUCCUUCAGUGACCAUCACGAACACCUAAAUAAAUCGGUAAGUCGCUGCUAAUAUGCCCCCGUGGAACCGCUGUUGUUUUUCCACCUUGUCCAGAGCAGGACUUCCAGCGUGAUGAUGGUGAUCAGAAGGAUGGCCAGGUUGAAACCGUAGCCGAUCUUCCAAGAGUUGCCUGCGCCGCCGACCUUGAUCCCGAGCACAAUGUUGAUGGCUGCAAAGAAGAGGGCGAGCCUGCCGACCCAGUGGUGGUACCAGUUCCAGAACUUGCGGUACUUGGAGUCCU